rnacentral:rRNA from 1 species
AGGGCACCACCAGGAGUGGAGCCUGCGGCUUAAUUUGACUCAACACGGGAAAACUUACCUGGUCCUGACACUAGAAGGAUUGACAGAUUGAUAGCUCUUUCUUGAUUUGGUGGAUGGUGGUGCAUGGCCGUUCUUAGUUGGUGGAGUGAUUUGUCUGGUUAAUUCCGAUAACGAACGAGACUCUAGCCUAUUAAAUAACACGCAGAAUCUUGUCUUCUGCGGUGUUUCUUAAUGGGAUCAAGUGUGUUUAACGCUUUGAAACAGAGCAAUAACAGGUCUGUGAUGCCCUUAGAUGUUCGGGGCUGCACGCGCGCUACAUUGAAAGACAAAAUGAGCCUUCUAGUUUUUAAUAAAGCUAGUAAUCUUUGAAUGUUUUUCUUAAUGGGGAUAGGGGAUUGCAAUUGUGCCCCUUGAACGAGGAAUCCCCAGUAAGUGCUAAUCAUUAGUUAGUACUGAUUACGUCCCUGCCCUUUGUACACACCGCCCGUCGCUACUACCGAUUGAAUGGUUUAGUGAGAU